GUCGCGGUUGAUUUGAACGCCAGUCAGUUGGUGUUUGGACGAAGAACGUUGAAGUAACACAGACUUUCUCCGAUUUCACGUGAAAAAAAUGUCUUCGAUAUCAAAUCCAAGCUGCUAACAGGAGAAGUAGUUUUGUCGCAUGAGCUUGGAAAGCAAGACUGAUGAGGAUUCUGUGUCAGUCUUCAUAAUGACGAGAUGGCAGCACUCCAGUUUGAAAAGAGGAUUAUCUCUUCAAGGCCAUCGAUUGACUGCUCCCCUACCGCUGACGCCAGUACUCGCACAUCGAAGUAAACAAGCACUCGUCCUUAUUCCUACCUAGGAAAAGACGGCCGCGGAGACACUAAGAAAUCUGGACUAAUACUACUGAUCGAAAUAAGAAUGAAAAGGUGUAACAAUGACCCAGGAUGAGAGUAUCCUGGGGACAAAGGUCUCUACUAAUAUUAUGUGAUUUUAAACACUGACGUAUAUACGGUCACGCUUCUCUUCAGAGCUAUUCCUUAACCCGGAAGGACUCCUCUCCCUUUGGAACAUUUGACACUACACAGUGAUACGACUCCUACCAACUGGAGUGCCACCUCUUUUUACAUCUUGGGUCUGCAAAGCUUCUUGUUUAAAAGUAUUUUUUGUUAGAACUGUUUGAUGUCUGUCUGUCUGUGGAUAAAAAUCACAAUGUUGUAAAAGGUCGCAUGUGUAUAUUUU